rnacentral:rRNA from 1 species
AGUGGACGCAUCACUGGUGUUCGGGUUGUCAUGCCAAUGGCAUUGCCCGGUAGCUAAAUGCGGAAGAGAUAAGUGCUGAAAGCAUCUAAGCACGAAACUUGCCCCGAGAUGAGUUCUCCCUGAGACUAUAAGUCUCCUGAAGGAACGUUGAAGACGACGACGUUGAUAGGUCGGGUGUGUAAGCGUAGCGAUACGUUGAGCUAACCGAUACUAAUGAACCGUGAGGCUUAACCUU